rnacentral:miRNA from 1 species
CACCUCAUCGGCCGGAAGGGAUUCCUUCCGGUCAAUGAGGUAAAACACCCUCAUCGACCGGAAGGAAUCCUUUCCGGUCGAUGAGACU